UACAGAGGUCUCAAGCGUUGUUCGGAUUCAUUGGGCGUAAAGGGUGCGUAGGCGGCGCGGUAAGUCGGGUGUGAAAUCUCGGGGCUUAACUCCGAAACUGCAUUCGAUACUGCCGUGCUUGAGGACUGGAGAGGAGACUGGAAAUUUACGGUGUAGCGGUGAAAUGCGUAGAUAUCGUAAGGAAGACCAGUGGCGAAGGCGGGUCUCUGGACAGUUCCUGA
rnacentral:rRNA from 1 species